UUUUGCUUUAAAAGGUGGAAUGACCAAGAAAAAAGGUUAAAAGAUGAAUUGACAAACCAUAUGGUUGAGUGGUUUGGAAAUGACACCUUUGACAAAACCAAGCUCCUUGAAAAAGCUGGCACAUAUCUAAAGUAUGUGAGGGACCAAUACAUGACCCAUUUAGAGAAUAACCUAAAGUACUAGCGUCCCCCCAUGAUUCCAGAGAGGGAGUGGAAGGACCCAAUUUUGGAUGCCAAGGAGAGAAUUUAAAGGAAAAAAGGAAAUACACCACCAGACGCCAAAAGAAGACUGAGUGACACGUCAAAGGCAACCAAGGCAAGACAAGAAAAGCACGGGCAACACAAACUCGGCUCUAGUUGUUAUAUGAAACUUGCUGCACGAAUUGGCUCUGAAUUCAAUAGAGUGCCCACAGAAGAUGACAAGAGAAUUGCCUAACAGCAAGGCUAUACAGCCGUGGCUGAUCAGCUACGAGAAUUGAGUGGGCAUACACAAUAUUCUGGUGCAUCCAUC